AACGCACCUUGCGCCCUUUGGCUAUUCCGAAGGGCAUGCCUGUUUGAGUAUCAUGAACAUCUCAACUCUCAUGGCUUGCCGUGAUGAGCUUGGACUUUGGGGGUCUUGCUGGCCUGUGGUCAGCUCCUCUCAAAUGAAUUAGCCUGCCGGUGUUUGGUGGGAUCACAGGUGUGAUAACUAUCUACGCUUGUGGUUUUCCACCAGGUAACCCUCAGCAAUGGAGGUUCACCGGAGCUUAUAAAUGACUCUCCCCAGCGAGGACAGAUUUUGACCGUUUGAUCUCAAAUCAGGUAGGACUACCCGCUGAACUUAA
rnacentral:misc_RNA from 1 species